CAGAGAACUACUAGCAACCGCUUAAAACUCAAAGGACUUGGCGGUGCUUUAAACCCCCUAGAGGAGCCUGUUCUAUAACCGAUAAACCCCGAUAAACCUCACCACCCCUUGCUAAUCCAGUCUAUAUACCGCCAUCUUCAGCGAACCCUUAAAAGGAAAAAAAGUAAGCAUAAUUAUCUCACAUAAAAAAGUUAGGUCAAGGUGUAACCUAUGGGAGGGGAAGAAAUGGGCUACUUUUUCUACUCAAGAACCGUCUACGAAAAUUUUUAUGAAACUAAAAACUAAAGGGGGAUUUAGUAAUAAACUAAAAAUAAAGAGCUUACUUGAAUAGGGCAAUGAAGCAAGCACACCCCGCCCGUCCCCCUCCUGCAGUCAA
rnacentral:rRNA from 1 species